AUUGAACGCUGGCGGCAUGCCUUACACAUGCAAGUCGAACGGCAGCGCGGGAGCAAUCCUGGCGGCGAGUGGCGAACGGGUGAGUAAUACAUCGGAACGUGCCCAAUCGUGGGGGAUAACGCAGCGAAAGCUGUGCUAAUACCGCAUACGAUCUACGGAUGAAAGCCGGGGAUCGCAAGACCUUGCGCGAAUGGAGCGGCCGAUGGCAGAGUAGGUAGUUGGUGAGGUAAAGGCUCACCAAGCCUACGAUCUGUAGCUGGUCUGAGAGGACGACCAGACACACUGUAACUGAGACACGGCCCAGACUCCUACGGGAGGCAGCAGUAGGGAAUCUUGCGCAAAGGGCGAAAGCCUGACGGAGCAACGCCGCGUGAGUGAUGAAGGUCUUCGGAUCGUAAAACUCUGUUAUUAGGGAAGAAAAUAUGUGUAAGUAACUGUGAACAUCUUGACGGUACCUAAUCAGAAAGCCACGGCUAACUACGUG
rnacentral:rRNA from 1 species